UCCAAAGGCACCACUUCCAGCAGCUCAGGUAAACUGCAGCUGUAUAAUCGAUUGAAAGGGAAGUGUUGUGGCACGUAAACCCAUUGCUACGCAAUGGCCGCGAAACAAACAACUACACAACGGCACGUAAAUCAACAGAGGAACGGCGUUUUCUGUGCUGUCCGUGCCGAGAUGUAAACAGGACAGUUAAUGAGAAGUUAGUCAUAGUCAGUAGCUUGUCGAGAGUAGCUGUAGUUGA